GCACCGAUAGUUUAGUGGUAGAACUUCAGCUUCCCAAGCUGAUCGUGCGGGUCCGAUUCCCGUUCGGUGCUCCA
rnacentral:tRNA from 1 species